rnacentral:rRNA from 1 species
AGUGAACGCUGGCGGUAGGCCUAACACAUGCGAGUCGAACGGCAGCACAGUAAGAGCUUGCUCUUACGGGUGGCGAGUGGCGGACGGGUGAGGAAUACAUCGGAAUCUACUUUUUCGUGGGGGAUAACGUAGGGAAACUUACGCUAAUACCGCAUACGACCUACGGGUGAAAGCAGGGGAUCUUCGGACCUUGCGCGAUUGAAUGAGCCGAUGUCGGAUUAGCUAGUUGGCGGGGUAAAGGCCCACCAAGGCGACGAUCCGUAGCUGGUCUGAGAGGAUGAUCAGCCACACUGGAACUGAGACACGGUCCAGACUCCUACGGGAGGGAGCAGUGGGGAAUAUUGGACAAUGGGCGGAAGCCUGAUCCAGCCAUACCGAGUGGGUGAAGAAGGCCUUCGGGUUGUAAAGCCCUUUUGUUGGGAAAGAAAAGCAGCAGGUUAAUACCCCGCUGUUCUGACGGUACCGAAAGAAUAAGCACCGGCUAACUUCGUG